GCUAAGACCCGAUAUAGUCUGACCUUCGGGAGAAGGUGAGAGGAAAGGCUUCGGUGCUCGGUGAGGGGCCUGCGGNCCAUCAGCUAGUUGGAGAGGUAACGGCUCCCCAAGGCAAUGACGGGUAGGGGGUGUGAGAGCAUGGCCCCCCACACUGGGACUGAGACACGGNCCAGACUCCUAUGGGAGGCAGCAGCAGGGAAUAUUGCGCAAUGGACGGAAGUCUGACGCAGCGACGCCGCGUGGAUGACGAAGGCCUUCGGGUUGUACAAUCCUUUUCCGGGCGAUGAGGCAGGACACUAGCCUGGGAAUAAGCGUCGGCUAACUACGUGCCAGCAGCCGCGGUAAGACGUAGGACGCGAGCGUUAUCCGGAUUUACUGGGGCGUAAAGCGCCUGCAGGCGGUCAGGUAAGUCGGUUGUGAAAGCCCCGUGCUCAACGCGGGGAGGCCAAGCGAUACUGUGUGACUUGAGGGCGGAAGAGGGGAGUGGAAUUCCCGGUGUAGCGGUAAAAUGCGCAGAUAUCGGGAGGAACACCAGUGGCGAAGGCGGCUCCCUGGACCGCACCUGACGCUCAGAGGCGAAAGCUAGGGGAGCGAACAGGAUUAGAGACCCUGGUAGUCCUAGCCCUAAACGCUGGAUGCUAGGUGUAGGGCUGAUGAGGCUCUGUGCCGGAGCGAACGCGAUAAGCAUCCCGCCUGGGAACUACGGCCGCAAGGCUAAAACUCAAACGAAUUGACGGGGACCCGCACAAGCAGCGGAGCGUGUGGUUUAAUUCGAUGCUACACGAAGAACCUUACCUGGGUUUGACAUGUUGGUGGUACCGAACCGAAAGGGGAGGGACCCUUCGGGGAGCCAACACAGGUGCUGCAUGGCUGUCGUCAGCUCGUGCCGUGAGGUGUCGGGUUAAGUCCCGUAACGAGCGCAACCCUUGCUCUUAGUUAUACGUGUCUAAGGGGACUGCCGGCGACAAGCCGGAGGAAGGUGGGGAUGACGUCAAGUCAGCAUGGCCUUGAUAUCCAGGGCUACACACACGCUACAAUGGCCGGUACAAAGGGCAGCCAAGCCGCGAGGUGGAGCGAAUCCCAGCAAAGCCGGUCCCAGUUCGGAUUGCAGGCUGCAACCCGCCUGCAUGAAGUUGGAGUUGCUAGUAUCCGCGCGUCAGCCAUAGUACGGUGAAUACGUACCCG
rnacentral:rRNA from 1 species